GAUGAACGCUGGCGGCGUGCCUAACACAUGCAAGUCGAACGGAGAUUACGGACGGAAGUUUUCGGAUGGAAGACUGUAAUUCUUAGUGGCGGACGGGUGAGUAACGCGUGGGCAACCUGCACUAUCAAGGGGGAUAGCCGCUGGACACGGCUGGUAAGACCGCAUAAGUCGGCGAGACCGCAUGGUUUUGCCGGGAAAUGAGCGAUCCGGUAUAGGAUGGGCCCGCGUCCGAUUAGCCAGUUGGUAGUGUAAAAGCCUAGCAAAGCAACGAUCGGUAGCCGGACUGGGAGGUGGGACGGCUAGAAUGGGGCUGAGGCACAGCCCAAACUGCGACGGAGGGCAGCAGUAGGUUGUAUUACGCGAUGAAGGAAACUCUAAUGCAGCCGCGCCGCGGGAGUGAAGAAGUAGGUCGGAAUGUAAAUCUCUAUGAGCAGGGAAGAUGAUGACGGUACUGGACGAAGAAGCCCCGGCUAACUACGUG
rnacentral:rRNA from 1 species